rnacentral:rRNA from 1 species
AGGACGAACGCUGGCGGCGCGCUUCAAGCAUGCAAGUCGAACGAGAUACCUGAGCUUGCUCGGGUGGAGAGUGGCGAACGGGUGAGUAACACGUGAGGAACCUGCCCCGAAGACCGGGAUAACGCCGGGAAACUGGUGCUAAUACCGGAUGCCCUCGCCGGAUCGCAUGGUCUGGCGAAGAAAUGGAUUCCGCUUCGGGAUGGCCUCGCGGCCUAUCAGCUAGUUGGUGGGUAACGGCCCACCAAGGCGACGACGGGUAGCUGGUCUGAGAGGAUGUCCAGCCACACUGGGACUGAGACACGGCCCAGACUCCUACGGGAGGCAGCAGCUAGGAAUCUUGCGCAAUGGACGAAAGUCUGACGCAGCGACGCCGCGUGCGGGAUGAAGGCCUUAGGGUCGUAAACCGCUUUCAGCAGGGACGAAUUGACGGUACCUGCAGAAGACGCCCGGCAACUACGUGCCAGCAGCCGC